ensembl:lncRNA
GAGUUAACCCACCACAUGACCAGAAGUCCAGGGGUUAGGGUAUCACCAGAGGAGAGCUGAGAGGGCUCUCUUACAACCCAGGGGUGCUGCGCUUCAUGAUGUGUAUUGGCUUCAUCCUCCGGCUGCAGGAAUUACAGAGGUCACCUUCAAAGAGUACCUUAUCCAGAGGAAAACAGACACUGUCUCCUUAGGUCUCUCAUUCGGAGAAAGGAAACCUUUCCCACAGGCCUUCCCAACAGACUUCCCCUCAUGCAUCAGCCAGAAUUAGGUCACUUACCCAUGCUUAAACCAGACACAGCAGAAGGCAAGAAUUCUCACGACUGACAUCAUCUAGAGUGGAAUAAUUUCGAGGACUCAACUAAGUGGCCACCACAAGCAGAAAAGGAAGGAACUCACAUGUUCUUUCUGAGACCCUGGGUGUUUCUCAACCAUCCUCUCUUUCAUUCUCUCAUCCACGCUCAUCCAGGUGUGUGCUAUUACCCUCUCCGUACUGAGAAGAAAUCAGAGGCUCUGCCCAGGGCCCCAUAUACGUACUGUGCUCCAAAGCCCCUGCUGUUUUUAUUACUGGGCACUGCAGACUUGGAGUGCAGUGGAAAGACAGAAGCUGUGCCCAGAGAGAGGAUUUGCAGUGUUAAAUAUCUUGUGGCAACAUUUCUUUUGAAGUGUUACACGCUUGGUUGGCUUCAAUGAAGACCUCUAGGACUGAGGACCGUGAGAGCAACAGUUGAAGGCAUCAAAAAAAAAAAAAAAAAAAAAAAAGAGAGAGAGAGAGUCCUCAAACAGUUUUCUUUGUGAUUGCUCAGGCUUGGGUGCCAAGGUCUGGCCAGCAGACUAUGAGCAGAUGUGAUGUGUCCCGAGUCUGGACCAAGGCAGCUUGGAGCUGGGGUGCCUCCUUCUGUUUUCUGUUCCCUACUGGGGUGACUGGACGUGAAAGACAACAGAACUACAAGAGGACCUGGAUGGGACUUCAUGUUUAUAGAGAAAUUAGUGUUUCUGUUACCUCGGCAUAGCCUAGCAGUGCCUGGCUAAUACACCUGCCCAAGCCUGUGUCAGCCACUUUCAUGCCUGCUUUCCUCACCGAGCCAUCCCGAUGAGCCUACCAUAAAAGCAGGGCUUGGAAACGUCGUGUAGCUGAACUAAGCUCACAUAGCUUGUGGGUGGCACUGACGGAACUUGAACCAAUCAAUAUGCAUCUAAAACCCAUGAUUUUUCUAUCCUGCCUCAACAUAGCACAUCUUAGCACCUUCCCGCGAAGGAGUCUAAAGAAUCUGGCAUGGCUGGACAAGAGGCACUGGGAGAAGCACAAAGAUCUGGCUGGUCCCAGGUCCUCACCAACGUCUCCAGGUCUUUAGGUUUGCCCCUCUGAUCUCUCCAUUUCUUGUUCUUUUUAAUUCUGGAGGCAAAGUAGCAGUGUGGUUAAGAGAAUGGACUUUUGGAGCCCUGCCACUCACAAGCUGUGUGACCUUGACCAACAUACUUCACCUCAGCAAGCUUCAAUCUCCUCAUUAGCAGAAAUGAGGAUAAAAGUACCUACCUCAUAGGGUGGUCAUAAGGCUUAAAUGAAAUGGUGUCUGCAAAGUACUCAGUGUGGGGUCUGGCAGAUUGGAAAUGCUUGGUGAAUAGUAGCUAAUAAAUG